UACGUAGGGGGCAAGCGUUAUCCGGAAUCAUUGGGCGUAAAGCGCGUGUAGGCGGUUCCGUAAGUCCGCUCUGAAAGCCCAGGGCUCAACCCUGGGAGGCGGGUGGAUACUACGGAACUGGAGUACGGAAGAGGAGAUUGGAAUUCCUGGUGUAGCGGUGGAAUGCGCAGAUAUCAGGAGGAACACCAAUAGCGAAGGCAGCUCGCUGGGACGUUACUGACACUGAGGCGCGAAAGCGUGGGGAGCGAACAGG
rnacentral:rRNA from 1 species